AUACACCUGUUAAACACACCUGUGGAGAAUGGACAUCUUAAGCAGUAAGCAUUAAGCAAAAUGACGUGUCAUUUAAUCAACACCAGUAAUCACUAACCAUUACAAACAUCCGGAUUAUCAACAUAAUACAGUGCCGUGAAGAAGUAUAAUUUUACUACGCCCUGAUCUGAAGAAAUUCAAGAACAGAUGAGAAAACAAAGUCAUUGAUCAUCCAUCAGUCUGGAAAAGGUUACAAAGUCAUUUCUAGAGCUUUCAGACUGCAGAGAACCACAGUAAGAGCUAUUAUUUACAAAGGGAGAUAACAUCAAACAGUGAUGAACCUUCCCAGGAGUGACUGACCUACCGAAAUUACACCAAAAGGGCAGGGAUAACUCAUCCAGGAGGUCCCAAAAGAACCCAGAACAACAACAGAUCUUACUUGCCUCAGAUAAGGUCAGCAUUAAUAAUUCAAUAAUAAGGAAGAGAUGGGUCAAAAAUGGUAUCCAUGAGUUCCCAGGAUUUUUUUCUCAGGUUUAGUUUUUCACUUAAUAUAUUAAACCUAAAAUGUUGAGACUGCUUUUUUUAUUUACACAGGUUAUCUUUGUCUAAAAUUGAAAUGUGUUUAGUAGGGGUGAAACGAUUACUCGAGUAAAUCGAGUAACUCGAUUUACAAAAUUGAUCGAUUAAUUUUCUGUGCCUCGAGUAAUCGUUUAUUUAAUUAAUAAACUCAGCGCGCGGUAUUUUCGCGACUUUCAUUUUGACAACGCGCUCAGCAUUACGUCACCCUGCCCGGGAACAAGGAGACGGAGGUUUGAGCAGCGGCAAAAAUGGAAGCGGCGAGAGAAAACAGCGAUUUUAAAGGAAUAAAAGCAUUUUAUGUUCGAACUGUGACCUGUACUCGGUGCAGUGCCAAAACAGCGCGUUUUAAUGCUGCACCAUCUGAGCCGAGGACACCCGAGACGCGAGGACGCCGAGAGAGCAGGUCCUGAUAUAUUUUGGAGAAGCGGCUUGGUGGUAAAAGAAUGCAGCACACUGAUCCAACACUGGCAGAACUGACAACGUCUCAGAAGCUAAGAUGCACAACACAAAGACGAUGUUUAUGCCUUUUUUUAUUGAUUUAUACCCUAUAUUUGUUAUUUACAAGAAAUCCAAAUGUGAAAGUAAUGUAAUUAAAUUUAUUUUUUUUAUUGUGGUAUUUAUUUAUUUAUUGUGUUUUAUUUAUUUGUAUUUGCAAUUUGGAAAUGUUGUGAAUUAAAAAAUAUAACUUAUCUAAAAAAGGAAA